AUAACACACAGGUCAUAUCACACGUGUGUAGGCACAUGCAUUCAGUUUGUUCUCCUCCCUGAUGAUAAGAAGACAAAAGAAACACAAAGCCAGAAACUCGUCAGGUCAGGAUGCAUGAAAAUUUAAAAGAAUAGAUCAAAGAUGAUAUAGAUGCUUACGUCUCUGAAAGCCAGGGCAACGCGAAUUUCCAUAGGAUCCCUGAGGAACUUUCGAGCCAAAGACAUGUCGUCGCGGAUAAUUUCUCUUCCCAUUUGUUCGACCAACUUGUGCAUGAUAACAGAUCCAUUAGUUGAUAUUUUGAUGAGAGAUUUCUCUGCUAAAACUCUUAUCCACAGGCUGCUCUGAGGUAUGGGGCCAUGAAGAAGGGAAGUGAUUCGCUGGAGAGUGUCUCCAUUGAAGAGACAGACAACAUGAAGGAAUACAUUCUGAUGUGGUUUUGGUAAGCCCUCGUAGCUAAUUUUCAAGAUUUCCAUUAUAUUCUCGUCAAGACUGCUUUCAAGUGCACCCAGUGCUUCUUCCCACUCCUCAGGACUCGCUGUCCUUCCACGGAGAAAUAAUGCAUAGGCUUGAAUGGCAGAAGGAAGCCCGUGAGCAAGCUUAGAAGCUCGGAUUGAGAGUUGGUCAAAACC
rnacentral:lncRNA from 1 species